AACGAACGCUGGCGGCAGGCCUAACACAUGCAAGUCGAACGGUUGUAGCAAUACAGCCGUGGCGCACGGGUGAGUAACGCGUGGGAAUCUGCCCAGUAGUACGGAAUAACAGUUGGAAACGACUGACAAUACCGUAUACGCCCUUCGGGGGAAAGUUUUUCGCUAUUGGAUGAGCCCGCGUCAGAUUAGCUAGUUGGUGGGGUAAUGGCCUACCAAGGCGACGAUCUGUAGCUGUUCUGAGAGGAAGACCAGCCACACUGGAACUGAGACACGGACCAGACUCAUACGGGAGGCGGCAGUGGGGAAUAUUGGGCAAUGGGCGAAAGCCUGAGCCAGCCAUGCCGCGUGAGUGAUGAAGGCCUUAGGGUUGUAAAGCUCUUUUGGCGGGGAAGAUAAUGACGGUACCCGCAGAAUAAGUUCCGGCUAACUUCGUGCCAGCCGCCGCCGUAA
rnacentral:rRNA from 1 species